AGCUUCAGUAGCGUAUAUUAAAGUUGUUGCAGUUAAAAAGCUCGUAGUCGCAUUUCUGGCGAGAGGAUCCGGUCCGACCUUUUGGUGGGUUCUUGGGUCUCUUUCGCCAUCCUUGAGUGGUCCGUUCUGGCAUUAGGUUGUCGGAGCGUCAGCCGCUCAUCGUUUACUGUGAGAAAAUUAGAGUGUUCAAAGCAGGCUUAUGCCGUUGAAUAUAUUAGCAUGGAAUAAUAAGAUAGGACCUCGGUACUAUUUUGUUGUUUUGCGCACCAAGGUAAUGAUUAACAGGGACAGUUGGGGGUAUUUGUAUUUCGUUGUCAGAGGUGAAAUUCUUAGAUUUACGAAAGACAAACUACUGCGAAAGCAUUUACCAAGGAUGUUUUCA
rnacentral:rRNA from 1 species